rnacentral:lncRNA from 1 species
CUUUUCCUUCCGUAUCCCUCUCUCGCACGAGACAGAGUCUCUUCCCUUCAGUUUUCAUUUCUUCUUCUAUUUUGACCUAAUCGGCUGUGCCUGUGGCUGCUCAAAUCUUCAAUCCAGAGCUGCACCUUUGCUGCGGCUGUGCUUGUGGCUGUUGCGGCUGUGCCUGUGGCUGCUGCGACAGCAUCUGUGCCGCUUCUUCAUCGAUCUCACGAUCUCCCGCCCAGGCCUAGGUAUCAUCCCUUCUCUCUCUCUCUCUCUCGCUCAAGUCGACCUCAGCCUAACCCACAUCACCCCUCUCUGUUUCAGGCACACACAACACAAACCCGAUCAAGAGCCGCCACAACCACCUCCAUUGCCGAAGGUAAAUUCUCUCGUCUGUGCAUUGUAGGGUUUUUAUUUUUAUUUUUAUUUUGCUUUGAAAUUUAUACCUAUAUCAGAAUGAUAUAUGCUAUGGGAGCUAUGGGAAGUGUUUUCUGUUAAAUCAGAAGUGUGCGGUGAUGAGGCUAUUUGUGGACUAGAGUUUAUGAUCUGGGUUCUUCUCCCAAAAGUUUGAUUACAAACCCUUGGCUGUCUGAGCACUCUUAAUCUGUUUUCUCUUAUCUUCCAAUCUGUAGUUUUGAAAAGUGCUUUGUUCCAAAGUCACCCGUAUAAUCUUUUUGACUUUCUGGCAAAACCCAUAAAAAUUUUCUCAAAUUUAUUGGCUUUUUUUUUUUUGCUGUAAAAUUGUUCUUGUUUGGUAGGGUUUAUAUGGCAGUAUGGAGCUUAUAAUUGUAUACAUGCAGGGAAAAACAAGGAAGUACUUGCGAUAUGUGAGAGCAGCAGGUCCCCUCACAGCUGUUCUUUCGGGCACAAUUUUUGUAAAAAUAUUUAAUCCAUCUUCCAUAUCUUUGGUGAGUGUGAUGUAUAUUAGAUUCACUUUAAUUGGCAGUUAUUCAAUCUAACAGUGUAGUGAUUACAAUAUACUUUUCUCAUGUUCUGUUUAUGCUUGCUUUAGUAAUAGAUUAUAUAUGGAAUGUUCUAUUUUUGUCGUACAUUCUGUCAGCCAUAAGUCUGCUGUUGUGCACCUGUCUAAAAUCUUAGCCUGUGAACACUCAUGAACCUGUCAUCCAGGAUAUUUGAGAAGAAAAAAAGAAGAAGAAUUUCCUAGUUAGUUAUUCAUUCUCUAUUAGAUUCACUACAUAUCGUUCUCUAAUAGUUAAAAUAACCAAUGUAGAGUUUUGCAAGCUUUGUUAUGCCAUCUGUUUGAAAAUUGGGAUGGUAAAGAGAGCAUGGUGAGCUUGCCAAUUUGGAAUGCAGGCCUGUUACAUAGAAUGAUAGAGUUUCCUAAAUAGUCACAAUCUAAUGUGGUGCCUGUUUUAAAAUUGAAUAAGUAUCAAUGUAGGAGACAGAAAACAUCCUAUUUAGUUAUGUUGCUAUUUUUCCUGUUGUAUGAUUCCUUCUGUUUUCAUGUAAUGUCUCUUUUCUCAUAGAAGAAUUCGACAGAACUUUAAGUUAGUAGUAGGUUACUAAAGGAUCUUGACUGUUGUUUAGGUAGGAGAUAUACCUCAGGGCCUACCAAGCUUUUCUAUUCCUAGAGCUUUUGGAUAUGCUACAUCUUUGAUCCCCACCGCACUUCUCAUUACUGGUGUAGCUAUUUUGGUAAGAUGAGCUCCAUAGAACCUUUUACUUGUAGCUUUGCUUUCUCUGUUUAAAUGAUCAUAUCUAUCAGUACUGUGAUAAUUCAUUUGUAUCUCUAGGAAUCUGUGGGCAUUGCAAAAGCAUUAGCAGCAAAGAAUGGGUAUGAGCUGGACUCAAAUCAAGAGGUAUGUUUUUGGAAAAAUUGGUAGGGCAUGUGCUCAAAACCGUAGCUCUUGUUUAUCAAUAAAAACAAAAAUACAAGUUUAAGUAAGAACUUUGUGAUUAAAGCUUAACUGCUUGCUGCAUGCUUAUCCGUUUGUCUUUGUAUUACUAUUGCUUCUUGAUACAUGAUUCUUGGUGAAUUUGAUUAAGUCAUUUGGUUGCAAGCAAGGAAACUGUACCCUAUAAUCUAAUGAAUCUUUUUUUGUUUUAACCAGUUGUUCGGUCUUGGUGUGGCCAAUAUUUUUGGUUCAUUUUUUUCAGCAUAUCCAACAACAGGUGUGAUGCCUAUGAGGUUCUAAGAGCUGCAGGCAGAAUUUUCAUAUAUAUUAUAUUUUUGAUAUAUUUUAUACUUUUUGGAGUCGUGCAGGUUCUUUUUCUAGGUCAGCUGUGAAUCAUGAAAGUGGAGCUAAAUCUGGCUUAUCUGGACUUGUUAUGGGAGUCUUGAUGGGCUGCGCUCUCCUAUUUAUGACACCACUGUUUGAAUAUAUACCGCAGGUUUAGUUCCAUCUUAUUGCAUUUGCCUUUUCAUUUAGGAAUAUAAUCUUGUGAAGCUCAUGAUUGAUGGCUUUUGCUGCUCCUCGUCAUUAGAAUAUGUCGUUUGUUAUCCUUCUUGCUCAUUACAUUCUAUUAGAAAUUUAUUCAUGGGGCUGUUUGCUAGUUGCAAAAAUUUGAAAACAUAAGGUGGCAUCUUUGCUAUUAUGUCAAAUGAUGUGUUUACUUGUUUUAUCACUGUUGUCAUUCCAAUUUGAUGUCCUAACUAUGGGAUUUGUUCUUUAUGUAAUUGGAUAAGGUCUCAAAUUGUCUCCUAGGAUGGUUGAGUAAGACUCUCCCUUCUUAGAAAUAGGGUGUAAAACAUCCACUACAAAUUUGAAUAAGACUCUCCCUUCUUAGUGUGAUGAAGAUAUGUUGGAAGAUAUUUUUCUUGCAUCCUAUUUUAAUUAUGAUUUGUUGAUGGUGAAACUUUGUGUUAAUUCUUUUCAUUGUUGUGUAGGUUGCUUUGUUAAGGUUUUGGAAGAAUGGAUGAAGCAGAUUUUUUGCAAGGAUGCUAUCUUUAUGUGUAUUUUUGUGAUGGGUUGUAAUCUUUAAUUUCAUAAGUUUAAUUUGGAUUGCUUGCUUUAUUUGUGUAUUAUUUUUUUGUCAUGGUUUGUAAGAGAUUAUAUUUCCUUUCCUUGCAUGGUUGGUUGAAUGUGUGAACGUG